UACGAAGGGGGCUAGCGUUGCUCGGAAUUACUGGGCGUAAAGCGCACGUAGGCGGAUUGUUGAGUCGGGGGUGAAAUCCUGGAGCUCAACUCCAGAACUGCCUUCGAAACUGGCGAUCUUGAGUCCGGGAGAGGUGAGUGGAACUGCGAGUGUAGAGGUGAAAUUCGUAGAUAUUCGCAAGAACACCAGUGGCGAAGGCGGCUCACUGGCCCGGUACUGACGCUGAGGUGCGAAAGCUAGGGGAGCAAACGGG
rnacentral:rRNA from 1 species